rnacentral:rRNA from 1 species
AACGAACGCCGGCGGCAUGCCUAACACAUGCAAGUCGAACGAGACCUUCGGGUCUAGUGGCGCACGGGUGCGUAACACGUGGGAAUCUGCCCUUUGCUUCGGAAUAACAGUUAGAAAUGACUGCUAAUACCGGAUGAUGUCGAAAGACCAAAGAUUUAUCGGCAAAGGAUGAGCCCGCGUAGGAUUAGGUAGUUGGUGGGGUAAAGGCCUACCAAGCCGACGAUCCUUAGCUGGUCUGAGAGGAUGAUCAGCCACACUGGGACUGAGACACGGCCCAGACUCCUACGGGAGGCAGCAGUGGGGAAUAUUGGACAAUGGGCGAAAGCCUGAUCCAGCAAUGCCGCGUGAGUGAUGAAGGCCUUAGGGUUGUAAAGCUCUUUUACCAGGGAUGAUAAUGACAGUACCUGGAGAAUAAGCGCCGGCUAACUCCGUG